rnacentral:rRNA from 1 species
CAAGCCUAAGUACUCCUACAUGACCGAUAGUGAACCAGUACCGUGAGGGAAAGGUGAAAAGCACCCCGACGAGGGGAGUGAAACAGACCCUGAAACUGGACGCCUACAAGCAGUCGGAGGGCGCAAGCCUGACGGCGUACCUUUUGUAUAAUGGGUCAUCGACUUGGUCUAUCUAGCAAGCUUAAGCCGUUAGGUGUAGGCGCAGCGAAAGCGAGUCUUAAUAGGGCGUCAAGUCUGUCGGAUUAGACCCGAAACCGAGUGAUCUAGCCAUGUGCAGGAUGAAGGUGGGGUAACACCCACUGGAGGUCCGAACCAGUGCCCGUUGAAAAGGUCUUGGAUGACGUGUGGCUAGGGGUGAAAGGCCAAUCAAACUCGGAAAUAGCUGGUUCUCCGCGAAAUCUAUUUAGGUAGAGCGUCUCGUGAAUACCCAUGGGGGUAGAGCACUGGAUGGGCUAGGGGGUCCCAACGACUUACCAAACCUAACCAAACUCCGAAUACCAUGGAGUAAUGCGAGGCAGACACACUGCGGGUGCUAAGGUCCGUAGUGAAGAGGGAAACAGCCCUGACCGCCAGCUAAGGUCCCUAAGUUAUCACUAAGUGGGAAACGAUGUGGGAGUGCUUAGACAACCAGGAGGUUGGCUUAGAAGCAGCCAUCCUUUAAAGAAAGCGUAAUAGCUCACUAGUCGAGUCGGCCUGCGCGGAAGAUGUAACGGGGCUAAAACUAUAUGCCGAAGCUGCGGAUUUGCAAUUUAUUGCAAGUGGUAGGGGAGCGUUCUGUAAGCCGAUGAAGGUGUAUUGAGAAGUAUGCUGGAGGUAUCAGAAGUGCGAAUGCUGACGUGAGUAACGACAAUGCGAGUGAAAAACUCGCACGCUGAAAGACCAAGGGUUCCAGUCCAACGUUAAUCGGGGCUGGGUGAGUCGACCCCUAAGGCGAGGCCGAGAGGCGUAGUCGAUGGGAAAUUGGUUAAUAUUCCAAUACUUCUGUGUAAUGCGAUGAGAGGACGGAGAAGGUUAAGUCAGCCUGGCGUUGGUUGUCCAGGUGGAAGGUUGUAGGCAUGUAUCUUAGGCAAAUCCGGGGUAC